UUUAUAUAAAUAUAAAUUAAUAUUUAAAUAUAUUUAAAUAUUAAUCAAAGUAUAAUAUAUAUUAAUAUUGAUUAAAAUCUUAUUUUUAUUUUAUAUUUAUUAUCUGGUUAGCAUUCAUGAAAAUUUUCUAAGGAAUUUUUACGGUUCUUCGUGGGUUCGAGGAACCGUCAGGAAGUUGGGAUUAAGAAAUGAGAGUCAUUUGGAUCUAGUAAUUCAGUAAAUGAUGGGCUAACCUCAUGCCAGCCGCCGUGGUCAGUCUUAGAAUUGAAAUAAAUAUUUUAAGUUUAGAAGUUAAUUAAACCUUUAAAAUAUAUAAUUUUUUUAUAAAAGCUAUUAUUUGAGAAGAAAUUAUAUUUAAUAAAAGUGUAAUGAAGCUAUGAAAUUCAAAAUUUAAACUAGGAUUAGAUACCCUAUUAUCUUGAACGUAAAAAUAAAUACAAGAGUAGUAAGAGAUAAGAUCUUGAAACUCAAAGAAUUUGGCGGUGUUUUAGUCUUUUCAGAGGAAUCUGUCCUAUAAUGGAUAAUACACAUUAAAUUUAACUUGAUUUUGUAAAAGCAGUUUGUAUACCGCCGUCAUAAGAUUAUCUUUUUAGAGAAAAAAUUUUCUGGAUUUCUGGAAGACAAGUAUAUUAUAGUAAUAUAAAGAGGAUAAAAUGUCAGGUCAAGGUGCAGCUUAUAAUUAAGUAAGAGAUGGAUUACAAUAAAAUAUAUUUAUAUGGAUAGUAUGUUGAAAAAUAUAUUUGAAGGUGGAUUUGAAAGUAAUAUUGUUAAAUUAUGAUAUUAUGAUUAUAGCUCUAAAACAUGUACACAUCGCCCGUCGCUCUCAUUAUAAGGUGAGAUAAGUCGUAACAAAGUAGAUGUACUGGAAAGUGUAUCUAGAUUGAA
rnacentral:ncRNA from 1 species